GCUGGGCGCAGUGGUGCAUGCCUAUAAUCCCAGCUGCUCUGGGGGCUGAGACAGGAGGAUCGGGAGUUCAGAGCCAGCCUCAGCAACAACUAGGUGCUAAGCAACUCAGUGAGACCCUGUCUCUA
rnacentral:sRNA from 1 species